AUUGAACGCUGGCGGCAUGCCUUACACAUGCAAGUCGAACGGCAGCACGGGGGCAAUCCUGGUGGCGAGUGGCGAACGGGUGAGUAAAGUAUCGGAACGUGCCCAGUCGUGGGGGAUAACGUAGCGAAAGUUACGCUAAUACCGCAUACGAUCUAUGGAUGAAAGCGGGGGAUCGCAAGACCUCGCGCGAUUGGAGCGGCCGAUAUCAGAUUAGGUAGUUGGUGGGGUAAAGGCUCACCAAGCCGACGAUCUGUAGCUGGUCUGAGAGGACGACCAGCCACACUGGGACUGAGACACGGCCCAGACUCCUACGGGAGGCAGCAGUGGGGAAUUUUGGACAAUGGGCGAAAGCCUGAUCCAGCCAUGCCGCGUGCAGGAUGGAGGCCUUCGGAUUGUAAACUGCUUUUGUACGGAACGAAAAGGUUUGGCCUAAUAAGCUGAGCUCAUGACGGUACCGUAAGAAUAAGCACCGGCUAACUACAUGCCAGCCGCCGCGGUAA
rnacentral:rRNA from 1 species